GACGAACGCUGGCGGCGUGCUUAACACAUGCAAGUCGAACGGAAAGGCCCCUUCGGGGGUACUCGAGUGGCGAACGGGUGAGUAACACGUGGGCAAUCUGCCCUGCACUUCGGGAUAAGCCUGGGAAACUGGGUCUAAUACCGGAUAGGACCUUUAGGCGCAUGCCUUUUGGUGGAAAGCUUUUGCGGUGUGGGAUGGGCCCGCGGCCUAUCAGCUUGUUGGUGGGGUGAUGGCCUACCAAGGCGACGACGGGUAGCCGGCCUGAGAGGGUGUCCGGCCACACUGGGACUGAGAUACGGCCCAGACUCCUACGGGAGGCAGCAGUGGGGAAUAUUGCACAAUGGGCGCAAGCCUGAUGCAGCGACGCCGCGUGGGGGAUGACGGCCUUCGGGUUGUAAACCUCUUUCACCAUCGACGAAGGUCCGGGUUUUCUCGGAUUGACGGUAGGUGGAGAAGAAGCACCGGCCAACUAC
rnacentral:rRNA from 1 species